CAAUGCGAUAUGUAUAAUACAUUGAUAAACCAAGCUGCAUUCAAUCCAAACAAUCCAAACAAAGGGAAGGGGUUACAGUCAAUUCAAGGAAGAGCAUGAAAGGAUCUUCAAUUGUAAAAAAUAUAACAUCUUCAUUUGCAAAGCUAAAUCGGUAGGUUGAGUGAAAUAAACGGAAAAUGCACUCGGUUCCUGCUUUUGCACUACAUAAAAUGUCAAUAUACCAAUUAUAAGGGCGGGGAUAGAAGAUUACAGCAUGCGCACAUUGAUUUUUCCAUGUGCAUCAUGAAACUUGUGAUCUGCAAAGCAAGAAGAUGGUCCAACAAACACUAGCUGUGUCCAGAAGUGGAGACCUCUGUGCUGCAGACGGGGCAAACCUUGUUUAUUUUCAACCAAUCAUUUAGGCACUCUGAAUGGUAGGAAUGUUUGCAAGAAAGCACUGUCAGGGUGUCACCAUCAUCGUAAUCUAAACGACAUAUGACACAGGAAUCAUUGCUUCCAUUCUGAAUGCUUCCAGCCUCGUAGUUUACUGAAGGCAAAGAGGCAAUUGUAUCAGCUGAAAGCCCUCUACUCUCAGUUCCAACAACUUCACCCAAUGCAAGCAACUCCUCAUAUGAAAGUUCAUCUGGAUCAACCUCCUCCCAUGCAUCCUGAGAGUUACCACCAUGAUCCUCAGUGUCCUCAACUUCUCGGUCAUCUAUUCCAGCAAGAGCUAACAGUCUAGCCGCCAUUUCUCUUUCUUCAGCAUCCUGUAAUGCUCUAGCAUAGGCCUCAUCACUAGAAAACAUAGAAGGGUCAAGAUCAACGCCAGGAACAUUAUCAGCUCCAGCAUCAGCAUGAGCAUGUACAUCAAAUGCAUCCAUGCCAUCAUCUGCAUCCGUGCCAUCAUCAUCCUCAUCCUCAUCUUCCUCCACUCCUUCAUUGUCAUCAGUAGGAUCACCAAAAUCAUCCUCAUCAUCAUGCAAGUAGCUUCCAGCUUCCCAACUUCCAUAAUCACUUCCGUCAUUGUUCAGUCUCAACAUCAUGUAUGCUCUUUCCUGUUCUUGAAGGGUUCGGGCAAGAGCAAGGUCAGCAUCGACCUGACUGAGAUUAGUGAAGGGAGUUCUUCUGGAAGAGUGACGAGGAGGCUGGGGUUCCUCUUGGUCUCCAUUAUCAUUUGCAAAACCUAAAUUAAGGUUGUGUUCCCGCUCUUGUUCUUGUUCCCUGCUGCUGCCAUUGUUGUUAGCGAUACUCUUUGCUUCUCCUGAACCCAAUUUGACAUUGUUCUCCAUAUAGUAUUGUGUGGGCUUUGGUGGUGAUUCGAAGACGCUCUUGGGUUUACAAGCUUUUGAAAUGGAUCGAUUUUUCUUUCGCGUUUGAUGGAAUACAGAAUGAUUCAGGAAUCAAAAAGAUGUUAGAGAGAAAGAGGGAGGAAAAUU
rnacentral:misc_RNA from 1 species